rnacentral:rRNA from 1 species
CUGGGCUUGACAUACACCGGAUCGCUGCAGAGAUGUAGUUUCCCUUGUGGCUGGUGUACAGGUGGUGCAUGGUUGUCGUCAGCUCGUGUCGUGAGAUGUUGGGUUAAGUCCCGCAACGAGCGCAACCCUUGUCUUGUGUUGCCAGCACGUUAUGGUGGGGACUCGCGAGAGACUGCCGGGGUUAACUCGGAGGAAGGUGGGGAUGACGUCAAAUCAUCAUGCCCCUUAUGUCCAGGGCUUCACACAUGCUACAAUGGUCGGUACAGUGGGUUGCGAUACCGUGAGGUGGAGCUAAUCCCUUAAAGCCGGUCUCAGUUCGGAUUGGAGUCUGCAACUCGACUCCAUGAAGUCGGAGUCGCUAGUAAUCGCAGAUCAGC